CCGCAGGCCCGCCCACUCCUCGCUUCUCCACUUCCCUUCUCGAAGUGUCCGGUCGCUUCUCGCAGGCGGCGCGCUUGCUGGGUCACAGUGAGGCGGCUCCGCGCAGGCGCAGCCGGGCGGGCGAGGAGCGGGGAAGCUGACUCAGGGCUGCGGCCGGGGUCCUGCGGGGUAGGAGCGCGAGGCCGGCCUGAGGGAGGAGGCCUAGCGACCCAUCCGGCGCCUCCCGCCCCGGGCACCCGCCCGCGGCCGCGCAUCCUGCGGGCCCCAGGAGGCCUCCAUCUCAAAACAACGUGUUUUUAGAGAACUCAAGGGCUGUGAAAAGAGCAGGACCUCACCAGCUGCACGGCGGUGGUGACUGGCUCCAUCUUGCUGUCCCUCCCAAUCACACAACAUCUCCCCUUGAAGGCUCUGCCCAGGCCCGGACUCCCACCUUUCAAGAUGUCUGGAUCAGUGCAGGACCUCCUCCUUGGCCACAUCGCUCUCCUUGGACUGGUUCAAGUGAUUCUCCCACCUCAGCCUCCCAAGUAGGAUUACAGGUACACACCACCACGCACAGCUAAUUGUUUUGUAUUUUAGGAAGAGAUGGGGUUUCAUCAUGUUAGCCAGGCUGGUCAGGUGAUCCAUCCGCCUUGGCCUCCCCAAGUGCUGGGAUUACAGGCGUGAGGCACUGUGCCCGGCCUGCCCCCCUUUUCUCUUGAUGUAAGUGGACAUUUUAAUCCAUAAUCUGUAACAUUUAUGUAUUAAGUUUACUACUAUCUUUGGUUUGCAGUGUUGACUCACCUGUGGAGUGGUCUGAGCCUGAAUGCCCGGGGCUGUGGCCACCGAGUGAACGGGCUGUGCUAAGGGGAAUUGCCACCUUGGGAAACCUGUGUAGUUGCGGCUUUUCUGAUUAAGUAUCAAUAAAAGUCUGACCUUGUGAAAAAAGCAAACGUGAGUGGCCCUGCUUAUGUUUCACCUUGCGUUGCUCAGUGAUAGUUCUGCAAAGUCGCAGGAAACCUGGAAUCAUCUAAUUAUCGUGAGUGUUGGCACAUGACAGCCUUCUUGCAAUCAAGAAACUACGUGUGGCCAGGAUCUCAUCCACUAUCACAGUUUCAGCUUUCCCCAAACUGGAAUGUGUCUUUGCAGACGCCCAUCCUUAUUAAAGGGCAAAGACUUCUCAUACACCUAGGAUGGAUCUUAUAUUCUUGGCGGGACUGCAGAGAAGGUGCCGUGUCCUGAGUCCUCAUGUCAGGGCACAGGCUUCCAGCCAGUUCUACCUGGGUUAUGUUUAUCUCAAUUCCCUGGUGGUAUUGGUGUCUGCUGGGUUUUGCCAGAAUGAAGACACCGUGUUUUCAUUUGUCAGUUGAUUCGUAUUUUCCAGGAAGACAUUCUGAGAUUACAGCAUUGUCUUAGUCAAGGUGCUGCAGAAGGACAGAACUAAUAGGAUAUAUGUACAUAUGAAAGAAAGUUUAUGAAGAACUGGCUCACACCAUCACAAGGCAAAGUCCCAUGACAGGCCAUCUGCAAGCUGAGGAGCGAGGAAGCCAGCAGUGGCUCAGCCGGAGUCCAACAGCCUCAAACGGAAUCCAACAGUUCAGGCUUCAGUCUGUGGCCAAAUGCCCAGAGACCCCGGAAAGCUACUGGUGUUAGUCCCAGAGCCGGAAGGCCAAAGAACCUGGAGUGUGAUGUCCAAGGGCAGGAGGAAUGGACAGAAGCAUCCAGCAUGGGGUAAAGACGAAAGCCAGAAGACUCAGCAAGCUAGCUUACCUACUUUCUUCUGCCUGCCUUGUUCUAGCCGCGCUGGCAGCCGGUUGGAGGGUGCCCACCCCCACUGAGGGUGGAUCUUCCUCUCCUAGUCCACUGACUCAAAUUUCAGUCUCUCUGGGAGCACCAUCACACCAGAAACAAUACCAGCCAUCUAGCCACCCUUCAGUUCACCAUCACAACCAUUGUCUUAUUCAUGAAACUUCUGCAGACCCACCUUAACCUCCAUCGGUGACUUCUACCUGAAGCCCUCUGAUUGUUGCCCAGUGGUGCUUUUUAAAAUAAUUUCCAUAGUUUCUUCUACACCUUUAGUUGGCAUUCUACUGUAAAGGAGAGAUUUUAUUUUCUUACUCAUUUAUUUGUUAGUUUAUAGUCACCACCAUAUGGAUGCAGAGUUCUGUCUCAUUCACUGGGAAGUAUUCUAUUGCAGUCAUGAUUUAUUUUGAUGUUCACAUCCCAGAGUUGGUGAGUGAGCGCCCCUUCACGCUGGCUCCCGAGUGCUGACGUGUCCCCGUCCUUCUCUGCACUUUUCCUUACCUCCUGGCCUCAGAUAUUCCAGGGUCAUUUGUUCUCUCCCUGCUCCAACCCUGCAGUCAGCCAUCUCCCUAGGGACGUUGGUUCCUUUAUGGAAGGUGGCAUUUAGAAGCCAGGAUUUGGGCUGAGCACUGUGGCUCAUGCUUGUAAUCCCAGCACUUGGGGAGGCCGAAGUGGGCGGAUCGCUGGAGGCCAAGAGUCUGAGACCAGCCUGGCUAACAUGGUGAAACCCUUCCCCGUCUCUACUACAAAUAAAAAAUUAGCUGGGUGUGUUGGCACGUGCCUGUAAUCCCAGUUACUCAGGAGGCUGAAGCACCAGAAUCUCUUGAACCCAGGAGGCCGAGGUUGCAGUGAGCCAAGAUUGCACCACUGCACUACAGCUUGGGUGACAGCGCGAGACACCGUCUCAAAAAGGAUAAUAAUUUAAAAAACAGCAGGAUUUGGGUGAGCAGUGCGCUCAUUGCUUCUGGGCUCUCUCGGUGGACAUAGGCUAGGAAUGUAAGAUGUAUGUGCCUGUGUAUAUACACACGUCUGUAGCUAUGUCUAUGUUGCAU
rnacentral:lncRNA from 1 species